GACGAACGCUGGCGGCGUGCCUAAUACAUGCAAGUAGAACGCACAGUUUAUACCGUAGCUUGCUACACCAUAAACUGUGAGUUGCGAACGGGUGAGUAACGCGUAGGUAACCUGCCUGGUAGCGGGGGAUAACUAUUGGAAACGAUAGCUAAUACCGCAUAAUAUUGAUUAUUGCAUGAUAAUUGAUUGAAAGAUGCUAUUGCAUCACUACCAGAUGGACCUGCGUUGUAUUAGCUAGUAGGUGAGGUAACGGCUCACCUAGGCGACGACACAUAGCCGACCUGAGAGGGUGAUCGGCCACACUGGGACUGAGACACGGCCCAGACUCCUAAGGGAGGCAGCAGUAGGGAAUCUUCGGAAAUGGACGAAAGUCUGACCGAGCAACGCCGCGGGAGGGAAGAAGGUUUUCGGAUCGUAAAGCUCUGUUGUAAGAGAAGAACGGGUGUGAGAGUGGAAAGUUCACACUGUGACGGUAGCUUACCAGAAAGGGACGGCUAACUACGUG
rnacentral:rRNA from 1 species